UUUGCCUAGUCAUCCUUUCUGAAUGAUCAACUUGUCCAAUACAGGGUGUUUGUUGAAAAAUAUAUCUAAGAUGUUUCUACAGCAGAUGCUGGCUGCUUCCUUAUAUUUUCCUUCAUGUUUACCAAGAGCAAGUGCUCGUCCUAAAGGACGAGCACUUGCUCUUGGUAGAGCGUAGAGCUAAAGCUCUACGCUCAAUGAUAUUUUUACGGUCUUUGUCCAUUUUAAGCUUCACAAUUAUCAUCUUGGAAGGGUCAAUUCCUUCAUAAACACUGGCUCCAUUAGCUUUUUCUCUUUGGAUCCUUUCAAUAUAAACGACGAAUUUUUUUUUCUGUACCCUUGGACAACUUCUCCUACGUGCUGUCCUUUGUAAUGACCACACACGACUUGAACUUCAUCGUCUUUUCUGUUGUUGUGUUGAUGGUCAACUUCCCAUAUCAUUCGUGUAGUAUUAAUGGAAAUUGUGCCUACAUUGGCGAAACCAAGAUUGUGAUAAGUCGUUUUAUUGCUGAAUAAAAUCAAAUCGAAAAAUGUGGGAUUCUGUUCAAUUUAAAAACUUACUAAGUUACAGAAAUUCAGACAGUUUUCAAUAUCAUUAUCGACAAGCGCCUGGUGCAUCUGAAUGUGAAAGGUGAUAUUCAUGAUUGUUGAAGAUUCCUUGAACUGAACACUCACUUAUACCGCAAGCUACAGCAAGCUUCCUUUGGCUUAUGUGUGGAUUUUCUAUUUCAUUUGGUAAAACCUCAAGCUCCUAGCCCUUGUAUUCAUUAGUGACCAAUUUUCUUCUUUUUUGCACUUGACUUUGACAUCUUCUGUCGUUACUACCUAAUCUGUUCAAAAGCCUCCGAAAACUCAAAUAUUUCGGAUGUCUUCUCUCGGGAUAUUCUACAGCAUAACUUCGACUUGCUAAUAAACAGUUUCUGGAGCACUGCCCCAACAAAAAUGAUGCUAUCAGGAUUAUUCUCGAAGAUGAUAUUAAAAAAAUGAACAAAUGGUUCAAUGAAAACAACCUAAUGCUCAAUAUAAACAAAACUGAAGUCCUAUCGUUCAGAAAUGAAGGAACAGAUGAGUUGAAUUUAAAACAUCAAGUUAUUAACAUCAAAACAACAAAUAUUGACUCGAAGCGUCAAAUUGAAAAACUUGCUCCAAAUAUAGCACGAUAUUGCUAUGCUUUAAGAGUCAUCCGAGAUACAGUGGGAGUGGAUGCUGUAAGUCUAUCUACCUAUCAUGCCUACGUUCAUUCAAGAAUAAUAUAUGUGAUUGUCUUCUGGGCAAGAUCUCCAAUAAUUCAAAGAAUUUUUCUACUACAAAAAAAAUGUUUAAGAGUAAUCUUUGGAAUGAAACAAACUGAAACCUGUAAAACUAUAUUUAAAAACUUUAGUAUAUUAACCCUUUACAGUUUGUGUAUAUAUGAGUCUGUUAUGUUUGUCAUUAAUAAUCCUUCUGACUUCAAAAAUAUUGAAUAUCCCUAUAACACCAGAGGGAAAAAAUCUUUAAUUAAGGAUAAGCCAAAUUACUCUUACUUGCAAAAAAAUGUUAUAUAUAGUUUGUUAACAAUAUGGAAUAAUUUACCUGAAAAAUUAAAAAAACGAUCUAUUGCUGUACAGAAAAGUA